CACUCCUACGGGAGGCAGCAGUGGGGAAUAUUGCACAAUGGGCGCAAGCCUGAUGCAGCCAUGCCGCGUGUAUGAAGAAGGCCUUCGGGUUGUAAAGUACUUUCAGCGGGGAGGAAGGCAAUACGGUUAAUAACCGUGUUGAUUGACGUUACCCGCAGAAGAAGCACCGGCUAACUCCGUGCCAGCAGCCGCGGUAAUACGGAGGGUGCAAGCGUUAAUCGGAAUUACUGGGCGUAAAGCGCACGCAGGCGGUCUGUCAAGUCGGAUGUGAAAUCCCCGGGCUCAACCUGGGAACUGCAUUCGAAACUGGCAGGCUUGAGUCUUGUAGAGGGGGGUAGAAUUCCAGGUGUAGCGGUGAAAUGCGUAGAGAUCUGGAGGAAUACCGGUGGCGAAGGCGGCCCCCUGGACAAAGACUGACGCUCAGGUGCGAAAGCGUGGGGAGCAAACAGGAUUAGAUACCCCAGUAGUCCCA
rnacentral:rRNA from 1 species